UGGGGAAUAUUGCACAAUGGGGGAAACCCUGAUGCAGCAACGCCGCGUGAGUGAUGAAGGCCUUCGGGUUGUAAAGCUCUGUCUUCAGGGACGAUAAUGACGGUACCUGAGGAGGAAGCCACGGCUAACUUCGUGCCAGCAGCGGCGGUAAUACGUAGGUGGCGAGCGUUGUCCGGAUUUACUGGGCGUAAAGGGAGCGUAGGCGGACUUUUAAGUGAGAUGUGAAAUACCCGGGCUCAACUUGGGUACUGCAUUUCAAACUGGAAGGCUAGAGUGCAGGAGAGGAGAAUGGAAUUCCUAGUGUAGCGGUGAAAUGCGUAGAGAUUAGGAAGAACACCAGUGGCGAAGGCGAUUCUCUGGAGUGUAACUGACGCUGAGGCGCGAAAGCGUGGGGAGCAAACA
rnacentral:rRNA from 1 species